CCAGCGGGGCACCCUGGGAACGCUGCCAGAACUCAACUUGUUGGACUCAAAUGACUCAAAUUCUGUAUUUGAAAAAGUUAUUAUAACUUCACAUACAAGUAUGACAUUUCUGUACAGAUUUCUUCAUCAGAUUCUGCCCCCAAACCAAAACCACAGGGGUCAGAAAUUCGUUUAAUGCCCAAGUCAAUUUAUUCCUCAUUCUGCAACCAAUGGAUGGCACUUAUUGGCGCAUUCUUCUCCAUAUUGAUAAUGUUUGUUAUACAGUGGGUAUAUGCUGGCAUCAACAUUGUAGUCGCCAUUAUCCUCUUCCUCUACAUUGGACAAGCAAGCCCUGGUCUGCCAAUAGGAGCAGCCGCUCAGU